ensembl:lncRNA
UCUUUCUCUGGAGAUUGCUCCUCUUGGUGUCUUUUUGCAAAAAGGUGGAGAGGAUUUCUGCUCACCGUCAGCUUUCUGCAGUCUUACAGUUGGUGAGGUGUGAUGGCUACAACUCCUUUGCCACCUGUGGAGAUUAUGCCUUCUUGCGUCAGAAGCUUACUGUGAGCCUGAUGGAGCUUUGCAUAAGUAACAGCGAGUGUUUUGGAGUAGAUUCUGACAAAAAGCCAUACAACUAUUUACAGAAAUAAUUGGAGUCUUUCUAUUUUGUACAAGCAUCAUUCCUGUUCAGUAGUGGAGGAAGAGUUCCUUUAUUUACUGUAUGGACGGCUCCGUGACAAUACAACAGUGAAGGAGGAUGUAUAGUAGAUUAAAAAAUCCCAUAAAGUCCUUUCUGCUAAUUGAAAAGUGAUCCACAGUGACUGUAGGAUUAAGAAGGUGUGUAUAGCUUUGUCCAAGCAAGUAGUGAAGACAAUGGCUUGGUAACAAGGUAGCUAAAGCUUUUGCAAGGUUAUUUCAUAGACUGUAGAGCAGCUGUUUGGUUUUUUUCCUCUCCACUUUUUCCGUGUUUUUUUUUUUCCUACAUGCUGUUUGUAUAAUGUUCCCAGUAUUUAUAAAGAAAAAGUCAUCAAUAAAGGUCUUCCAAGAACUAACAUCACGUCACUUACAACACACUCAGAGCAACAGAACAUCACAGUACAGGCAAAACAUCUUGCAGGAAAAAAAAAACCCUUUCCUUGAAAAACCUUUCCUUGAAUAGUUUUACUUACUCUUCUCUGCAUGUCUUCUUCCAUGAUCAGCUUAGCUGUACUCCACAAAGCCAUUCCAGUGGAAGAGCAGCUUCACUCCGCCAAGCCCAGCAAAAGAGAGGAUACAAAUGAUGUCUUAUUGAUUGUGGACUCUCUGACAUUGUGAUACUGAAAGAUGGUCAAGGUUUUGUCUCCAGUACUGUAAUUUACAACACAAUUUUUGUGGCCAUGUUUUGU